rnacentral:rRNA from 1 species
UGAGUAAUGUCUGGGAAACUGCCUGAUGGAGGGGGAUAACUACUGGAAACGGUAGCUAAUACCGCAUAACGUCGCAAGACCAAAGAGGGGGACCUUCGGGCCUCUUGCCAUCGGAUGUGCCCAGAUGGGAUUAGCUUGUUGGUGGGGUAACGGCUCACCAAGGCGACGAUCCCUAGCUGGUCUGAGAGGAUGACCAGCCACACUGGAACUGAGACACGGUCCAGACUCCUACGGGAGGCAGCAGUGGGGAAUAUUGCACAAUGGGCGCAAGCCUGAUGCAGCCAUGCCGCGUGUAUGAAGAAGGCCUUCGGGUUGUAAAGUACUUUCAGCGGGGAGGAAGGGAGUAAAGUUAAUACCUUUGCUCAUUGACGUUACCCGCAGAAGAAGCACCGGCUAACUCCGUGCCAGCAGCCGCGGUAAUACGGAGGGUGCAAGCGUUAAUCGGAAUUACUGGGCGUAAAGCGCACGCAGGCGGUUUGUUAAGUCAGAUGUGAAAUCCCCGGGCUCAACCUGGGAACUGCAUCUGAUACUGGCAAGCUUGAGUCUCGUAGAGGGGGGUAGAAUUCCAGGUGUAGCGGUGAAAUGCGUAGAGAUCUGGAGGAAUACCGGUGGCGAAGGCGGCCCCCUGGACGAAGACUGACGCUCAGGUGCGAAAGCGUGGGGAGCAAACAG